rnacentral:rRNA from 1 species
GAUGAACGCUGGCGGCGUGCCUAAUACAUGCAAGUCGAGCGAACAGACGAGGAGCUUGCUCCUCUGACGUUAGCGGCGGACGGGUGAGUAACACGUGGAUAACCUACCUAUAAGACUGGGAUAACUUCGGGAAACCGGAGCUAAUACCGGAUAAUAUAUUGAACCGCAUGGUUCAAUAGUGAAAGACGGUUUUGCUGUCACUUAUAGAUGGAUCCGCGCCGCAUUAGCUAGUUGGUAAGGUAACGGCUUACCAAGGCAACGAUGCGUAGCCGACCUGAGAGGGUGAUCGGCCACACUGGAACUGAGACACGGUCCAGACUCCUACGGGAGGCAGCAGUAGGGAAUCUUCCGCAAGGGGCGAAAGCAUGACGGAGCAACGCCGCGGGAGUGAUGAAGGUCUUCGGAUCGUAAAACUCUGUUAUUAGGGAAGAACAAAUGUGUAAGUAACGAUGCACGUCUUGACGGUACCUAAUCAGAAAGCCACGGCUAACUACGU